rnacentral:rRNA from 1 species
CACGUAGGGCGCAAGCGUUGUCCGGAAUUAUUGGGCGUAAAGAGCUCGUAGGUGGUUUGUUACGUCCGCUGUGAAAUCCUAGGGCUUAACCCUGGGCUUGCAGUGGAUACGGGCAGACUAGAGGUAGGUAGGGGAGAAUGGAAUUCCUGGUGUAGCGGUGAAAUGCGCAGAUAUCAGGAGGGACACCCGUAGCGAAGGCGGCACUCUGGGCCGAUACUGACACUGAGGAGCGAAAGCGUGGGGAGCGAACAGG